UUUAAAUGUAAUUUGUAUUCUAAAUUAGUAUUAGUUAUGUUCUUGAAAAUUAAAGAUUUUGGCGGUAUUUUAGUCUUUUCAGAGGAACCUGUCCUGUAAUCGAUAAUCCACGAUUAAUUAUACUUAUAUUAUUAAUUUGUAUAUCGUCGUAAAUGAAUAUUUUAAAAGAAUUAUAAUAUUCGAUAUUUUUUAUUAGAAAAUAAAUCAGAUCAAGGUGCAGUUUAUAUAUAAGUAGAGAUGGGUUACAAUAAUAAAAAUUAAAUGAAUAAAUAAAUGAAAUUUUAUUUUAAAAGUGGAUUUGAGAGUAAUUUUAAUUAUUUAGUUAAAAUGAUUUUAGCUCUAAAAUAUGC
rnacentral:rRNA from 1 species